rnacentral:rRNA from 1 species
AUGAAGCGCUUUGUCUACAUAAAUGACGAAUCGUACCAGAAUGACUACUGUGAUAAUCAGAUUUCUAACACAAAGUAUACCUUAUGGAACUUCCUGCCCAAGAAUCUAUGGGAGCAAUUCAGGCGUUUCAUGAAUCAAUAUUUCCUAUUGAUAGCAUGUCUCCAACUGUGGUCACUUAUUACUCCUGUAAAUCCUGCAAGCACAUGGGGCCCACUUAUAGUAAUUUUCGCCGUUUCGGCAACCAAAGAGGCCUGGGAUGACUACAAUAGGUACAUUUCAGACAAGCAAGCAAAUGAGAAGAAAGUGUGGAUUGUAAAGAAUGGUGCACGCAAACAUAUUCAAGCACAAGAUAUCCGUGUUGGUAACAUAGUAUGGAUUCGAGAGAAUGAAGAAGUUCCAUGUGACCUUGUUUUAACAGGAACUUCUGAACCACAGGGCGUUUGUCAUGUUGAGACAGCUGCCCUUGACGGGGAAAUUGACUUGAAAACAAGAGUAAUCCCAACAACAUGUGUAGGACUGGACUCUGAACAGUUGCACAAAAUAAAGGGUGUCAUUGAGUGCCCAAUCCCAGACAAAGACAUAAGAAGAUUCGAUGCAAACAUCAGGCUGUUUCCUCCAUUUAUUGAUAACGAUAUUUGUCCAUUGACUAUUAAUAACACAUUACUACAAUCGUGCUACUUGAGAAAUACAGAAUGGGCUUGUGGAGUGGCAGUUUAUACAGGCAAUGAGACUAAGUUGGGGAUGAGUAGGGGAGUCCCAGAGCCCAAGCUUACUGCCAUGGAUGCAAUGAUUGAUAAGCUUACUGGCGCGAUAUUCUUAUUUCAACUUGCAGUUGUUGUUGUUCUUGGAUCUGCAGGCAAUGUUUGGAAGGACACUGAAGCUCGUAAGCAAUGGUAUGUCAAGUAUGACGAUGAUGAACCAUGGUAUCAGAUUUUGGUUAUCCCUUUGCGGUUUGAGCUAUUGUGUUCAAUUAUGAUUCCCAUUUCAAUAAAGGUUUCACUGGACUUCGUUAAAAGUAUGUAUGCAAAGUUCAUAGAUUGGGACGAGGAGAUGUAUGACCAGGAAACAGAUACACCUGCUCACGCAGCAAACACAGCAAUUAGUGAAGACUUGGGACAAGUUGAGUAUAUUUUGACAGAUAAAACUGGGACUCUGACUGAGAACAAAAUGAUCUUCAGAAGGUGCUGUAUUGCGGGCACCUUGUAUGGGAAUGAAAGUGGAGACGCGCUUAAAGAUGUUGAACUGCUGAAUGCUGUUGCCGAUAAUUUGCCCCAUGUCAUUAAAUUCUUGACAGUCAUGGCACUUUGCAAUACAGUUAUUCCUAUAAAAAGUCCUAGCGGAACAAUAUCAUAUAAAGCUCAGUCCCAGGAUGAGGAUGCUCUUGUUAAUGCAGCAUCUAAUUUGCAUGUGGUGCUUGUCAGCAAAAAUGGAAAUAAUGCUGAAAUUCACUUCAACAGACGGGUGAUUCAAUAUGAGAUACUUGACAUUCUAGAAUUCACCUCUGAUCGGAAAAGAAUGUCUGUUGUAAUAUCGGAUAGUCAAAGUGGCAAGAUUUUCCUCUUAUCCAAAGGCGCAGAUGAGGCUAUUCUUCCUUUGGCUUAUUCUGGACAGCAAAUAAAGACAUUUGUUGACGCGGUUGACAAAUAUGCUCAGCUGGGAUUACGCACACUCUGCUUGGGAUGGCGUGAGCUAAGUUUGGAGGAGUACCUAGAAUGGUCUCGGUUAUUUAAGGAGGCCAACAGCGCGUUAGUUGACCGGGAGUGGAAAGUUGCUGAGGUUUGCCAGAAAUUAGAGCACUCCCUAGAUAUACUUGGUAUCAGUGCGAUAGAGGAUCGGCUCCAGGAUGGUGUGCCAGAAACUAUUGAAAUACUGAGACAAUCAGGAAUCAAUUUUUGGAUGUUAACUGGAGAUAAACAAAGCACUGCUAUUCAAAUAGCUCUUUUGUGCAAUUUAAUUUCUUCAGAGCCCAAGGGUCAACUCUUGUAUAUCAAUGGGAAAACCGAAGAUGAAGUUGCCAGGAGCUUGGAAAGAGUUCUACUCACUAUGCGGAUAACUUCUUCUGAACCUAAGGAGUUAGCGUUUGUUGUGGAUGGAUGGGCUCUUGAAAUUAUUCUAACACGCUACAAGGAAGCUUUUACGGAACUAGCAGUUCUUUCAAAGACAGCAAUAUGCUGUCGUGUUACACCUUCACAGAAAGCACAGCUUGUCAAGCUUCUAAAGUCAUGUGACUAUCGAACUUUGGCAAUUGGCGAUGGUGGGAAUGAUGUCAGGAUGAUACAGCAGGCUCACAUUGGUGUAGGGAUUAGUGGUAGAGAAGGUCUUCAAGCAGCAAGGGCUGCUGACUAUAGCAUCGGCAAGUUCAGGUUCUUGAAAAGGCUCAUUCUUGUCCAUGGACGAUACUCAUACAACCGUACUGCCUUCCUUUCACAGUAUUCGUUCUACAAGUCAUUGUUAAUUUGCUUUAUUCAGAUACGUAUUGCCGGAACAAGUUUAUUCAAUUCAGUUAGUUUAAUGGCCUAUAAUGUCUUCUACACAAGCAUUCCUGUUUUAACUACUGUUCUGGACAAGGAUUUAUCUGAAAAGACAGUGACACAAAACCCAGAAAUUUUACUAUACUGCCAGGCUGGAAGGCUUUUGAAUCCAAGUACUUUUGCUGGUUGGUUUGGUCGAUCGUUAUAUCAUGCAAUUGUUGUUUUCUUAAUCACCAUUCAUGCUUAUGCCAAUGAAAAAAGUGAGAUGGAGGAGUUGUCAAUGGUUGCUCUCUCAGGAAGUAUUUGGUUGCAGGCUUUUGUCGUGACACUGGAGAUGAGUUCUUUCACUUUUCUGCAGUUUCUGGCAAUAUGGGGAAACUUCGCUGCUUUCUACGUCAUAAAUCUCUGUAUCAGCACCAUACCAACUGCUGGGAUGUACACCAUCAUGUUCCGCCUUUGUAGACAGCCGUCAUACUGGAUAACAAUGCUGCUAAUCAGUGGAGUUGGCAUGGGUCCUGUAUUAGCUCUGAAAUAUUUCAGAUACACAUACAGUCCGAGUGCGAUUAACAUUCUUCAGAAGGCCGAGCGAUCUCGUGGGCCAAUGUACACCCUGGUAAAUCUGGAGUCUCAACUCAGAUCAGAGCAAGACAAUUCGACCAACUCCAUUUUGACAGCGCCAGUAAAGAAUAAGAACUCAGUUUACGAGCCCCUACUGUCUGAUUCUCCUAUGGCAUCCAGGAGAUCACUAGCAUCGUCAUCAUUUGACAUCUUUCAGCCAGCUCAAUCAAGGGUUCCUGCUGCUUAUCCCAGAAAUAUUAAAACCAGUUAA